AGCGGGUUCUUCAGAAAGUCCUU
rnacentral:snRNA from 1 species